UUUAAAAAAAUUCGACCUCGAGCCUUCAAGCAGCUCUACCGCCCUCAGAUCGCAAGUUAGAGAAAAAAUUUCUUCUAGGAAAAUGAUCAGCUCGACAUCCUCUUUCCAUAGACCCCCCAACAUCCCAUAUCCCCGAGGGGCUGCAACAUUUAAAAAAAAAUUACCCUGAAAUGGUAGUCCUUUAUUGCUUGCCUGAUAAACGAC